rnacentral:rRNA from 1 species
UAGGGAAUCUUCCACAAUGGCGCAAGCCUGAUGGAGCAACACCGCGUGAGUGAAGAAGGGUUUCGGCUCGUAAAGCUCUGUUGUUAAAGAAGAACACGUAUGAGAGUAACUGUUCAUACGUUGACGGUAUUUAACCAGAAAGUCACGGCUAACUACGUGCCAGCAGCCGCGGUAAUACGUAGGUGGCAAGCGUUAUCCGGAUUUAUUGGGCGUAAAGAGAGUGCAGGCGGUUUUCCUAAGUCUGAUGUGAAAGCCUUCGGCUUAACCGGAGAAGUGCAUCGGAAACUGGAUAACUUGAGUGCAGAAGAGGGUAGUGGAACUCCAUGUGUAGCGGUGGAAUGCGUAGAUAUAUGGAAGAACACCAGUGGCGAAGGCGGCUACCUGGUCUGCAACUGACGCUGAGACUCGAAAGCAUGGGUAGCGAACAGGAUUAGAUACCCUUGGUAGUCCAUGCCGUAAACGAUGAGUGCUAGGUGU